rnacentral:lncRNA from 1 species
UGACUUUGUGUAAUGUGAAUAAAUAAUAAUGACCAGAGGUUCUCUCAUCUCUUCUGUGUAGAAUUGGGACACAGCCAGCCAGAAAUCUGCUGCACAUCAGAGUGCCCACAUGGCCUACAGAGAAGCGAGUGAUGGCUAGGAUCACUGCACGGGCCAGCAGACACUUGGGGAUCCCUGAGGCUCCGGCCUUGCUCAGCAGCCUGUGCCACUCACCUGUACCUCCUGAUCUUCAUAAUAAAAGGGAAAAGUCUUUUCAGAACGUGUGUGGCAAGGAGCUCUCUCCACCUGACCACUGUGCCUUUGCUCUGCCCAUGAGACAUGGCUCAAGCAUUAACUACCAGAGUUUUUUAACCCAAAUUCUAAGGAGUACGUGGAAUUAA